rnacentral:rRNA from 1 species
CGGACGGGUGAGUAAUGUCUGGGAAACUGCCUGAUGGAGGGGGAUAACUACUGGAAACGGUAGCUAAUACCGCAUAACGUCGCAAGACCAAAGAGGGGGACCUUAGGGCCUCUUGCCAUCGGAUGUGCCCAGAUGGGAUUAGCUAGUAGGUGGGGUAACGGCUCACCUAGGCGACGAUCCCUAGCUGGUCUGAGAAGAUGACCAGCCACACUGGAACUGAGACACGGUCCAG